GCGGGGCUCAUUUUUCGCGGCCGGACGAUGGCAAUUAAUGUUCCGUCAACACAGCCGACGACACCAGGGAGCUUGCCACGUUCAAGGAAGCGUUGCUUGACCGCCACCUUUUCUGUGUCCGUCGGAAACUUCACCCAUCCCUUUGCUUUGCCGACCGUUGCAAUGGCUUCAGCAACGGAAAAAAUUAUGCGGCUAACUGAGGGCUGGGACAGGGCGACAGUUUCCUCGUUGGCCACGGACUGCUGGAAACUUCCAGUCGCAAAAAAACGCAACGCACAGAGCACUUUUGUCACAGUGUCAAUGCCACUAGCGCGUUGCGGCCCCAACACACACUCAAGUUCCUCGCACAGGCGGAGCACUGUCUCUUUCGAGAGUCGGAAUUGUCGCCUGAAUUCCUCGUCCGUCAUCUCAAAGGCCUCUUGUCGGUGUCGACGUCGUCGCUGUCUCUCACACAGGCUCGCUAAAAGCGCGAGAACAGGCGCCACAGACACCGGACACGCUGCCAUUUUGCUCUGAGUGCCGCGAUCUCGCCCGUGCACACGGCACGCACAGGCUCUGCACACGGCACAGCGCGCUUCGGAUCAGAUGAAGCAGCGCGCGCGGCUUCGCUUUGUAGCAGACGACAAAUUCAGUUUCCCCGUGAUUGACAUGUGCAUGACGUCAUCAAAAAAUGCGUUCACGCCCUGAGGCGAUGGCGUCACCCAGGCGGCGACCAAUCGCUGCACGCAAACCGAAGCCUUCGAAAACCGAAGCGUUACAGAAUACGGCCCCUGGUUUAUUGGGCUCUCGGCGUAUUCUUGCGUUCCUUCUGCACUGGGACAAGACACCACUGCACUAUUGGACUACGGCAAGCUGGUGCCGUCCGGUGGAGCUUCAUACAGGAACUCCUACCUUACCUGCUGGUGUCACAACGUUGGAUGAACGCACAAAAAGCGCGGAACGAGCUUUUAUAUAGAGCAAAAUAAAUAUUUCCUCAUUGCACAAAA